rnacentral:rRNA from 1 species
UACGGAGGGGGUUAGCGUUGUUCGGAAUUACUGGGCGUAAAGCGCACGUAGGCGGAUCAAUAAGUUAGAGGUGAAAUCCCGGGGCUCAACCCCGGAACUGCCUUUAAUACUGUUGAUCUAGAGUUCGAGAGAGGUAAGUGGAAUUCCGAGUGUAGAGGUGAAAUUCGUAGAUAUUCGGAGGAACACCAGUGGCGAAGGCGGCUUACUGGCUCGAUACUGACGCUGAGGUGCGAAAGUGUGGGGAGCAAACAGG